AUUGAACGCUGGCGGCAUGCCUUACACAUGCAAGUCGAACGGCAGCACGGGAGCAAUCCUGGCGGCGAGUGGCGAACGGGUGAGUAAUAUAUCGGAACGUGCCCAGUAGUGGGGGAUAGCCCGGCGAAAGCCGAAUUAAUACCGCAUACGACCUACGGGUGAAAGGGGGGGAUCGCAAGACCUCUCGCUAUUGGAGCGGCCGAUAUCAGAUUAGGUAGUUGGUGGGGUAAAGGCCUACCAAGCCUGCGAUCUGUAGUUGGUCUGAGAGGACGACCAGCCACACUGGGACUGAGACACGGCCCAGACUCCUACGGGAGGCAGCAGUGGGGAAUUUUGGACAAUGGGCGCAAGCCUGAUCCAGCAAUGCCGCGUGCAGGAAGAAGGCCUUCGGGUUGUAAACUGCUUUUGUCAGGGAAGAAAUCCUCUGGGUUAAUACCUCGGGGGGAUGACGGUACCUGAAGAAUAAGCACCGGCUAACUACGUGCCAGCAGCCGCGGUAAUAC
rnacentral:rRNA from 1 species